ensembl:lncRNA
GAGAGGGAGAAGCCUGUGUGCUUCGCGGUUUACCGGAUCUUUUUUUUCCGGCAGUUUUAAUUGAAGAUCACUCCGCGACCAACACGACGCAGCGCUGUAGUUCCGCAGCAGGUGAUGCGCGGUCAGCCAAUUAGUUGGUAUUCUCACUCGCCAGCUGUCAUCAAAUGUAGUCAAGCUAGCCAUAAAUUCUGACAGCUCAAUCGUCAUUAAACUCAAAUACAGCGAUACGUUUCUUUCUCUUGGUUUCAUACCAACUUUGAGAAAUAACGAGGAGCGCACACAAUGUAUUUUGUCCAGGGAAGUGCUUAGUAAUGAGACACUCACAUUAAAAUAACACAUCCUGACCAAACAUCCACAGCAUGAUGGUAAACCCAGGGAGGUCUUUCAGAGCAGGGCUGAAUACUUCAGGGAACAUCGCUUCGACAGUGGAAAAGCCGGUGGUGGCUGGCCCGCUCCAGGAGUCUGAGGUGCGGGAGGUUCCUCCACCCCCUCUGGACAUCGAGGGGGACCCGGCGUACUCCGUUCGAUCCAUACUGGAUUCGAGACGUCGGGCCUUCAGUACCUCAUGGACUGGGAGGGCUGUGCAGCGACGCUCCCCAUCCAUCCUGACAGAGCUUGAGAGGAUCUGCAGAGAAGAAUGGGAGAAACUCCCAAAUACAGGUGUGCCAAGCUUGUAGCAUGAUACCCAAAAAUACUUGAGGCUGUAAUCGCUGCCAAAGGUGCUUCAACAAAGUACUGAGUAAAGGGUCUGAAUGCUUAUGUAAUUUUUUAAAACAUUUGCUAACAUUUCUAAACUUUUUUUUGCUUUGUCGUUAUGGGGUAUUGUGUGUAGAAUGAUGAGGGGGAAAAACAAUUGAAUCCAUGUUAGAAUAAGGUUUUAAUUUAACAAAUGUGGAAAAAGUCAAGGGGUCUGAAUUUUUUCAGAAUGCAGUGUAAGAAUGUUUUUAAAUGGGGAAAAAAUAAACAUGAAUAGCUAUUUAUAUUAUUAUAUUUAAUUGUUAUUUGCUAUUUGUCUAUAUUGCAUGUGUUUUAUGCAUAAGGGCAGUGAAAAGUACCAAUAUUUAUGUAUAGUUGCAUGUUUUCAUAAGCGUAAAUUGGGUCCCAGGCUGAAAAGGUUUAAGAACCCCUGAUUUAGAGAUGACAUAACAACCAUUCAAUGAUGUUGUUCAUGCCUCCGCGAUACAGCUAUUUUUUUAUUUUUUUAUUUUUUAAAUAGAAGAAACAUUUUGUUGCUACGGCAACCAAUUAUUUCACAGAGACUAUUUCAGAGCACUCUCGUCUGUGUGCCAAAGUGCAGAAUAAAUUAUGAAUUUACAAAUGCUCAACACCUGUUGAAUAUAGCCGGUGUCAGUAAACGUUGGCAAAAAAAAGCGUAAUUAAAUUGUUGCCAGCACGGUUACAGUCACCAACGCUCUAGAUAACAUGAAAACUGCCUAACCA